AUCUCUCGUCUCUCCGCGCGUGAGUGACAUGUGAACUUUCCGUGCACCGGGAAUCUAUUCCUCUCAGUCUGAAGAGAAUCCGUGAUCUGGACGCUGCAACUACUGCCAAGGUUUUCCCACUCAUCUUCUUCUGGGGCAGCAGACUGUAAGAUACCUUGAGACCAAACGAUAGGAGGACAGGACCAGAAGACAACACAAGCUGGACUCAAACUCACCACACCACGUCUCCAGCUGAGCUCUGUAUUAAUGCACCGAGUUGCUUCAACCCUUUACAACACCGCAAACAGCCUGCAGAGUCGUGGAGGUUGAACAGACAGACACCUCACUCUUAUGUCAAGCAUCAAUUAAAGCAAUUUUCGCCUUGGAAGUAAGUGUCUUCCUGCUCUCUUAGAGAUUAUUAACAUCUCCACUACAGCUGUAGUUUAUUUUUUUCCUUCUUAAAGGAACAGUUCCCUCAAAAGUGCAGUUUUAAAUGAAAUUUCAUGUUUCAUAUCAGUAUUUUAUACUAUAUUUAUAUUUUAAGUAUAC
rnacentral:lncRNA from 12 species